UGUUAAGAAGACUGGAGAUGAAGGACUAACUACUGUCUAACCUGAAAUCUUUGGUAGGGGUUUAUGCUGGCAUUGAUCCUGUUUCCAAAAGCAGCUUGCCAUGUUUCUGUGAGAGUCCAAAGAGAUCAGCUAGAACCUGAAAAUAAAGACAGACUGCCAUCAAUUUUGUUUCUUUGACAGCAGAAAAAUUUGCUUCAACAAUAGUGCAGAGAUUAAGGUUUGGGCUGCAAGUGAUGGACACACUAAAGAGCUUAACUCACAGAAGUCAAUGGACUGUGCUGAGUACAUUGUUAUUAGAAAGUGAUGGACACACUAAACAGCUUACCUCACAGAAUUCAAUGAACUGUGCCGAGUACAUUGUUAUAAUAAAGUGAUGGACAGUUGGACACACUAAAUAUCUUAACUUGUAGGAUUCAGUGCACUGUGCUGAGUAACUCUUAUCAACACAGUGAUGGACACACUAAACAGCUUAACUCACAGAAUUUAAUGGAUAUUGCUUGAGUACGUUGUUAUUAUAAAAUGAUGGACACAGUAAAUAGCUUGACUCCAGAAUUCAGUGGACCGUGCUGAGUACAUAACUCAUAAAGGAUAACUCCUGACACAUUCACAGCAGAUCACUCAAAGUUAACUCUGUUAAAUUUGUAA